rnacentral:rRNA from 1 species
UACGAAGGGGGCUAGCGUUGUUCGGAAUUACUGGGCGUAAAGCGCACGUAGGCGGCUUUGUAAGUUAGAGGUGAAAGCCCGGAGCUCAACUUCGGAAUUGCCUUUAAGACUGCAUCGCUUGAAUCGUGGAGAGGUGAGUGGAAUUCCGAGUGUAGAGGUGAAAUUCGUAGAUAUUCGGAAGAACACCAGUGGCGAAGGCGACUCACUGGACACGUAUUGACGCUGAGGUGCGAAAGCGUGGGGAGCAAACAGG